rnacentral:rRNA from 1 species
UGGGGAAUUUUGCACAAUGGGGGAAACCCUGAUGCAGCGACGCCGCGUGAUUUAGAAGGCCUUCGGGUUGUAAAAAUCUUUUCUAUGGGAAGAAAAUGACAGUACCAUAGGAAUAAGGACCGGCUAAUUACGUGCCAGCAGCCGCGGUAAUACGUAAGGUCCGAGCGUUGUCCGGAAUCAUUGGGCGUAAAGGGUACGUAGGCGGGUAAGCAAGUUAGAAGUGAAAUCCUAUAGCUCAACUAUAGUAAGCUUUUAAAACUGCUCAUCUUGAGGUAUGGAAGGGGAAGUGGAAUUCCUAGUGGAGCGGGGAAAUGCGCAGAUAUUAGGAGGAAGACCGGUGGCGAAGGCGACUUUCUGGCCAUAACCUGACGCUGAGGUACGAAAGCGUGGGUAGCAAACAGG